GGGAGGGGAAGGUAACUACCACUCACACGCGCAUAGGGGGAACGGGAAGAGAGAGAGAGUUUUGCUGCCGCCGCUGCCCCCAGGAGCUGGUCCAGAGGAGCUUCAGACAAGGAAAUAACCUCUGGUCUUCAAGGGACAGAUGACCGCUGCUUUUUCCCUAGCUGCCUCUUUCCAGGGACACUCCUAUGGAUAGACUAGGAGGUAAGCUGCAAGUGAAACCAGAUCAUCCUACAGUAUUGGUUCUGUGGUUUGACACUGUCUGGAAGGGACUGAGGUGAAGACUGUACUAAGCAAGAAGCAUAUCCAGUGUCUCAGCUAAGUGUAUUAUGAUUGCAAACAAUACUGUAAAGUGACCUAGAAAUACUGAAAAAGAAGGCUCAAAAGGAACUCCUCAAGUUGAAGGAGCAGCCUUUCUCUCUGGCCUGGACUCUUCUUAUGCAGGGAAAGAGGAACGUUAUAAAGGCUAGAAAAUGAUACACCAUAAAAAUGUUUGUAAGAGACAGGGAAUACUGCUAUUUUCAGUGUCUUAUUUGUCAGUGGAAGAAGAAAGGACAAAAUAUAAAUGAUACAGCCGCAUAAGCUCAACAUACUACAUUCCACUUUAUAAUAUGGGCAAAGCAGAAACAGGGAAAACAUGUUUGUUACUGAAUUUGCAACCUCUCCACAUUCCUUUCACAGUUAGUAAUGUCACUUUAGAGAAGAAUUAAGUUAUCAUUCACCACUUACUGCCUAAAGGUUACACAGUCUAAAUAACAUAAGGCCAAAGUACAGAGUCAUGAACUGUACAGUUAAAAAUCAAGUUGCUCCUGCCCCAUUUAAUGUGGUGCGCACUAAUCUUUUGGUUUAGCUUUGAUCUCUUAUCAGCUGAAUUUAACCUUUUAACUCCACUACUAGAAGAAACACCUACACACACCCAGAGCAAAGCUUAUAUUAGGCUGCAACAGUGUGUUACAGAUUCAUCACAU